GCAGACUCACUCUGUUCUUUGCUGCUUCCUCCAGCCUCGAACUUUUGCUGACUGCUACAUGAACAUGCAGAAUCUAACAGUUCACUGUUUUUUACUAAAAGGCUGGUGUAUGUUUGCUCUGCUACAUUACA